rnacentral:rRNA from 1 species
UUCCGGUUGAUCCUGCCGGAGAUCACUGCUAUUGGAAUUCGGCUAAGGCAUGCGAGUCGAGAGGGUUCGGCCCUCGGCAGACGGCUCAGUAACACGUGGAUAAUCUGCCCUUAGGUGGGGAAUAAUCUCGAGAAAUUGAGCAUAAUGCCCCAUAGCUUUAGAAUGCUGGAAUGCUUUUAAGGCCAAAGCCCCGGCGCCUAAGGAUGAGUCUGCGGCCUAUCAGGUUGUAGUGAGUGUAACGGACUCACUAGCCGACGACGGUUACGGGUCCUGGAAGGGAGUGCCCGGAGAUGGACUCUGAGACACGAGUCCAGGCCCUACGGGGCGCAGCAGCUACGAAAACUUCACAAUGCGGGAAACCGCGAUGAGGGAAUUCCGAGUGCUUAUACUUUGUAUAAGCUGUUUACUUGCCUAAAAAGCAGGUAGAGUAAGGGCUGGGUAAGACUGGUGCCAGCCGCCGCGGUAAUACCAGCAGCUCAAGUGGUGAUCGUUUUUAUUGGGCCUAAAGCGUCCGUAGCCUGUUUGGUAAACCCUUGGGUAAAUCGGGCAGCUUAACUGUCCGAAUUCUGAGGAGACUGCCAGACUUGGGACCGGGAGAGGUCAGAGGUACUCUUAGGGUAGGGGUGAAAUCCUGUAAUCCUAAGAGGACCACCAGUGGCGAAGGCGUCUGACUAGAACGGGUCUGACGGUAAGGGACGAAGCCCUGGGUCACGAACCGGAUUAGAUACCCGGGUAGUCCAGGGUGUAAACGCUGCGGGCUUGGUGUUGGGGGUCCUACGAGGGCAUCCAGUGCCGGAGAGAAGUUGUUAAGCCCGCCGCCUGGGGAGUACGAUCGCAAGAUUGAAACUUAAAGGAAUUGGCGGGGGAGCACAGCAACGGGUGGAGCGUGCGGUUUAAUUGGAUUCAACGCCGGGA